rnacentral:rRNA from 1 species
UUGGAGGGCAAGUCUGGUGCCAGCAGCCGCGGUAAUUCCAGCUCCAAUAGCGUAUAUUAAAGUUGUUGCAGUUAAAAAGCUCGUAGUUGAAUUUCGGGACCGGUGGGUUGGUCGUGCCUCCGGUACGUACUGGUCUUACUGGUUCCUCCCUUCUGAAGAAUCACGAUGUCAUUAAUUUGGUGUCGUGGGGAAUCAGGACUGUUACUUUGAAAAAAUUAGAGUGUUUAAAGCAGGCUAAAGCUUGAAUAGAUUAGCAUGGAAUAACGAAAUAGGACGUUUGAUCUUAUUUUGUUGGUUUCUAAGAUCGACGUAAUGAUUAAUAGGGAUAGUUGGGGGCAUUAGUAUUCAAUUGUCAGAGGUGAAAUUCUUGGAUUUAUUGAAGACUAACUACUGCGAAAGCAUUUGCCAAGGAUGUUUUCAUUAAUCAAGAACGAAAGUUAGGGGAUCGAAGACGAUCAGAUACCGUCGUAGUCUUAACCAUAAACUAUGCCGACUAGGGAUCGGAUGAUGUUAAUUUUUUAAUGACUCAUUCGGCGCCUUACGGGAAAC